rnacentral:rRNA from 1 species
GACGAACGCUGGCGGCGUGCCUAAUACAUGCAAGUAGAACGCUGAAGAGAGGAGCUUGCUCUUCUUGGAUGAGUUGCGAACGGGUGAGUAACGCGUAGGUAACCUGCCUUGUAGCGGGGGAUAACUAUUGGAAACGAUAGCUAAUACCGCAUAACAAUGGAUGACACAUGUCAUUUAUUUGAAAGGGGCAAUUGCUCCACUACAAGAUGGACCUGCGUUGUAUUAGCUAGUAGGUGGGGUAAUGGCUCACCUAGGCGACGAUACAUAGCCGACCUGAGAGGGUGAUCGGCCACACUGGGACUGAGACACGGCCCAGACUCCUACGGGAGGCAGCAGUAGGGAAUCUUCGGCAAUGGGGGCAACCCUGACCGAGCAACGCCGCGUGAGUGAAGAAGGUUUUCGGAUCGUAAAGCUCUGUUGUAAGUCAAGAACGGGUGUGAGAGUGGAAAGUUCACACUGUGACGGUAGCUGACCAGAAAGGGACGGCUAACUACGUG